GGGGCUGUGGCUCAGUGGGAGAGCAUCUGCCUGGUGUGCAGAAGUUCCCAAGUUCAAUCCUGGGCAUCUUCA
rnacentral:tRNA from 1 species